UACGUAGGGGGCUAGCGUUGUCCGGAAUCAUUGGGCGUAAAGCGCGUGUAGGCGGUCCGGUAAGUCCGCUGUGAAAGUCGGGGGCUCAACCCUCGGAUGCCGGUGGAUACUGUCGGGCUUGAGUACGGAAGAGGCGAGUGGAAUUCCUGGUGUAGCGGUGGAAUGCGCAGAUAUCAGGAGGAACACCAAUGGCGAAGGCAGUUCUCUGGUACGUGAUUGACGCUGAGACGCGAAAGCGUGGGGAGCAAACAGG
rnacentral:rRNA from 1 species